GAGCAGGGUACUUGCUGAUCUCCGCUUUAAAGACACUCUUUCAAAUUUUUGAAAAAAAACUGCAGCAUGAACCACACAACUUUGGCUUCUCUCAUCUCUCAGUGUGUUUUUCAACUAAUGGAAAGAAAACUGGAAAACAAAGUCAAAAAUGCUACAGAGGAGAAAAAUCCAAAAUCCAAACCAUAUGACAAUGCCUAUUUCUUCGUUCUCUUUGUCAUGAUGUUUUAUUCUUUCCUGGCAUUAACUGUCUUUUGGGGUUAUGUUCGCUCCAAGAAAGCCAUUUCAAAGAAAGAUCCUUACCAGGAGUUCAGUGAGGAUAAGUAUCAAGACAAGAAUGUGACCCAGUCCAUGGUGGAGAAGUAUGACUUUGAAGAAGAAAGUACACUUUGAACGAUGGAAACAAAGAUACUCUACUAAGCAUCCAGGAAUAUUUUGAUGGCAUCUAUCGAAAGGGAGAUGUUCGAAGUCACUUUAUUCAGUCAAGGUCCAGUUGGGUAAGCCCAUAUUGUCACCUAAGGGCAGGAGGUACACAGCAAAGAAGAAAAAAGCAACAGCUUUGGAAGGAAUAGGGACUUUAUAAGCCUUUGCUGGAUAAAAUUUGUUUCCUCUCCCUUCUUUCCUCUGUGCAUCUAAAAGGAACGGAAUCAAUAUUAACACAGUUACUAUUGUGGAGAUUUGGUAAUGGGAUUUCUUGGAUAUGCUUAUAUUCUUGUAAACUAUGUGUAGAAAAGGAAGAAAAAUGGUCUGAAUGAAGAGGGAUGAAUUGUUCAAAGGAAUUUGUCAUUGAGGACAUGAUCUACAAAGGCCAUGGUUUGUGCUUUUGAUAGGAAUAACACUAGAGUUAUCUGCUACCUGCAGUAAAGUGGAACAUAUUUUACUCUUCUAUAUGAACUAAUGCUGCUUAACAUGGAAAUAUAUCAAUUCCCUUCUGUGUGUUCUCCCCCAAUACUCCCCCCAGUCCGACUGAAUUCAUAUGUAAUGGCAAAAAUAUUAACACAACAUCUGCAAAACAUAAUUACAGUGCUGUUUUAUUUCCCUCCACUGGAAAGCUAUGGGCUGAAGGCUGACAUUUCCCCUCUCCCAGCACUUGGAAGUCUUCAUUUGUUUUCUUUCUGCACUCUUAUUCUUGGACAAUCAUGUGGAUUUUUGUGUGGCUUUGCAUGGCAGCUUCAAGCUCCAGCAUUUCCCAUUGACUGGAUCCUCAAGAGACAUACUUUACUUUUCUACCUUCUGAGAUUCAAGGGGACAUACAGCUCCAUGACUUGCAGCCUUACAAUAUGACUAAGGAAAAAAAGAAAAUGAAGAUCUCAGUGGUUAUUGGCAAAAGGAGACAUGAAGAUAAAAGACGAAACAUAUUUAACUUUGAAGUGCCUUCUUCAGAAGAUAGAGCUUCUCUUCCUUUUCUUGUCCCCUGCUAUUUCACUAAAACCUGGAUGUAGUUUUCAAGACCUCAACCACCAGAAGACCAAUUCGCAGCCCAUAACCUAAAGAGGUGGUCGUCAUCAAGAAAAGACCAGUAUGGAGAGAAAAAUACAAUGUCCAUCAGUAUACUAGCCUUGUUUUUGAUAGGAGCUGAAAGCAGGAUUGAUUGGGGUAAUAAUGGAAUGAAUUGUGGUACAUAAAUUUAAUGGAAUAUCACUGCGUUCUCAGGAACGAUGAAUAGGAAGGAUUCAGGGAAACAUAGGAAGAGUUGUAUGAAGUGAUUACAGAGUAAAGACAGCAGAACUGAGAGGGCCACAAACUCAAGGACUACAAUAAUGCAAACAAAGUCAACACGGCUAGACAGGCAAAACUCUAGUUAAAUAUAACAUUGCAUGGUAGGGCUGUCCUGACAGAGUUGGUGAAUUCUCCCCCUUUCUAGUAAUAAUGACAUAUUGUUUUGAGGGAAUGUACUUAGCAAGAGGCUUUGUUUAGGUAUUUGUUGAGAAAUAUCUGCUCUGUUUUUGCUUUCUAAACAAAAUAUAGCAAUAAAUUUAACAGAAUCCCUGGCAAGUGA